rnacentral:lncRNA from 1 species
AUGGACAUCUACUUGUGUAUUUAUGUGAUUUUUCAUAGCCAUGUGAGGCACAGUGAAACAGAUGCUCAUGGCAACUUCUGCUCCAGAAGCUUCCCAGAUAUGACUGACCUCAGACACAGGAAUUCAGAAAUCUCACUGCCUGCCCCUUUGCCAUUAAGAAAACAGAUACUGGAUCCCCAAACCCAUGAUGAAGAAAGAGGCUGGAAGAACUCUCAGAAGAGUUUUCAAGACUAUGAGUGCCCUUGCCAAAACCCGGUGGAAAAAUCCCUAGAGAAACAGAGGCCAUAGAAGUUUAAAGGUUUGGUUAUUUUUUAAAGUUUUUACUACCUUCCCAGUAAAUAGUGCCUUAAUUCUUCAUUCUUACUAGCCAAUUGUCAUUUAGCACCCCAUAAUUCUCUUAUUAAAACCUAGAGGGAGAGUUAUUAUUUUCAAGGAUGGGUAAAUUUAACUGCCUUGCUCUCUCCUACAACUUUGCAAAGUAGUUCAGGGGACAAAGUUCUUCUCAUUUUUUUCCCCUGAAUAUAUUCCUCUUUUACUGUACAACAUAAAACCUUAACUACUGAGAAUCAAAUGUACCAUAAGAGAAAAAUACCUCAUUGCAAAGUAAUUGCACAGUGGAAACAACCUUAGACGUAAUCUCUAGCCUUGGCUCUAUGGAGGUGUAACUAAUUCUUUGACUCUCAGAAAGCUUUUCAACCUCCCUGUCUUCUCUUUAAUUAGUAAAUGUGGAUAAAGGGAUAUAUAUAUAUAUGUGUGUGAUAUACAUAUACACACACACAUAUAUAUAUAUAUAUAUGACUACUAUCAGGAUGAAAUGAGAUGAUAGAUAUCGAGAGUGGUUUUCAAACAUGUUUCUUAUAGUAACAUAAGAAAUUAUUCUCUGUUAUUCUAAUUUAUAGUUUUCCUUAUGUACGCUUAUGAUCAAGAAAUCUAGAUGAUGGUGUGGGAAAAUAUUUCCCUAAUGUAAUGACAUAGAUGCAUGGUGGUAUUUUCAGUGGACUGUACAUUUUAUUGCCCCACUUGCAUGUACAGUGAUAUACCAGCCAGAAGACCAGUGAUUUUCUACAUGGCUGCAUCUUCAUCUUCACUCAUUCAUUUAACAAAUAUUUUUUGAAUGCCUACUAUGUGCCAGGCAUUGUUUCACAUACUGAAGAUACUGCAUAAAGAGAUGAUGCGUCUUCUUUCCUGUAGCUUAUUUUCUAAUUAGAAAAGACAUAAACCAGUAAAUAAGCAGUAUGCCAGGUGGUAUUAAGUGUAAUGAGGAAAAAUAAAGCAGGAAACGAGAAUAUUAAGCAGGAGUCAGCAAACUACGUCCAACUGACCACAUCUGGCCUGCUGCCUGGUUUUGUAAAUAAAGCUUUAUUGGAACAUAGCCCCCAGCAUUCAUUUACACUUUUCUCAUUAGCUACUUUAAGUUAAAUAGUUGAAACACAGACCAUCUGGUCCACAAAGCCUAAUAUAUUUGCUCUCUGGCCCUUUACAAACAAAUUUGAGGUUCCUGAUGUUGGCCAUCGAAGGCUGUUUCAAGAACUCUAACUUUUAUGCUGAGUGAAAUAUAAUGACCAUGGUGGGAGUAACUUACUCUAACUUAUGUUUUAGAAACAUUAUCCUGGUGGCUGUGACGGGAAUGGACUCAGGAGCAAGCGUGGAAUCUCAGGAUGGUUUUGAAUGUGGCUCAACACAAAUUCAUAAACUUUCUUAAAAUAUGAGAUUUUUUGUGAUAUAUAUAUAUAUAUAUAUAUAUAUAUAUAUAUAUAUAUAUUUUAUAGCGCAUCAGCUGUUGUUAGUGUUAGUGUAUUUUAUGUGUGGCCCAAGACAAAUCUUUUUGUUCCAAUGUGGCCCAGGGAAUCCAAAAGAUCGGACACCCCUGAUUCAGACAGUGAUUGCAGUGAUGCAGAGGAGAGAGAGAUCAUAGAGCAGGAAGGAUGAGAAUGAGGUGAUAACAAUAAGGAUUAGUUCCUGGAUAUAGUUUUGAAGUUAAUGCAGUGAAGGAUUAUGGCUUAAAGAGUUAGAAGGUUGGAAUUUCCAUCCAUUGAAGUGGGGUAGCCACUAGAGAAGCAUGUUUGAGGAUGGAAAUUAGCAGUUUGGUUUGUACAUAGUAGGUUUGCAAUAUCAUGUGGCCAUGGAACUAGACAUGCCAACAAGUCAGGGGACUAUGUGAGCUCAGAAUUCAGGGGUGAGGUCUAGGUUGGAGAUAAAAAUCUCAUAUUUACCUACAUACAGGUGAGGUUUAAUGCCAUUAGAUAGAACAAACUCAUCAAGAGAACAUUUUUUUGCUGUAUUCCAUCUGCCAGUUAGUGCUCAGAGGGCUUCUUUAUUUGCUGGACUGUUUUUGCUAGAUAGAGUUUUAGGUAGUGGGACAUAUGCUUUUUGCAUAUUUCUUGAUAGCAUUUUGAUUUAUUGUCCUGUUCCUACUUUUAGCUUGAAGUAAGUAGGAAAUGGAGAAUUUUUUUAGUUAAAAAUGAUAUCCUGGGCCUAGUUUUGGAAAGCAAAAAUCCUGUAAAAUGUGUGUCCGCUUCAAGAAGUCAGAAUCAUUUCACCCAGGCACAUUUUUCUUGGAAUGGGUAAAGCGAAGAGAAUAAGUUACAUUUAUUAAAUACCUACUAUGUGCCAGUGAUUUUACAAACAAUAGUUCAUUCCAGGGUUCUGUUUUUGAAUUUGCAAAAUUGGGAGGGAAUUACUCUCAUAUUUCUAUUAUUUUUUACUUCCAGAUGGAAAUUCAAUAAGGACAAUUUCUGUCUCUUACUAUUUCAACAUCUCUCAUAUCAGAGAAAAAUUGAAAAUAAAAUUCCAAAUUAGUGCAAAUACAUUCCUGACUUUCAUGAGUUCACUUUUGGUCACUUCUAAAUCAGCAUUCUAUUUAUUGGAACAGGUUGGUUCUUUCCACUUAUUGGUGUUCUCUUUCCAAGGCUCAAUAAAAUUCCACAAAGCAUCAACCUGAAGAAUAACAGUCAUGCAAAGAAGCUCAUCAUCACUGGUCAUUAGAGAAAUGCAAAUCAAAAUCACAAUGAGAUACCAUCUCACGACAGUUAGAAUGGUGAUUAUUAAAAAGUCAGGAAACAACGGAUGCUGGUGAGGCUGUGGAGAAAUAGGAACACUUUUACACUAUUGGGAGUAUAAAUUAGUUCAACCAUUGUGGAAGACAGUGUGGUGAUUCCUCAAGGAUCUAGAACCAGAAAUACCAUUUGACCCAGCAAUCCCAUUACUGGGUAUAUACCCAAAGGAUUAUAAAUCACUCUACUAUAAAGACACAUGCACACAUAUGUUUAUUGCAGCACUAUUUACAAUAGCAAAGACUUGGAAUCAACCCAAAUGCCCAUCAAUGAUAGACUGGAUAAAGAAAAUGUGGCACAUAUAUACCAUGGCAUACUAUGCAGCUAUAAAAAAGAAUGAGUUCAUGUUCUUUGCAGGGACAUGAUGAAGCUGGAAACCAUCAUUCUCAACAAAUUAAUACAGGAACAGAAAACCAAACACUGCAUGUUUUCAUUCAUAAGUGGGAGUAGGACAGUGAGAACACAUGGACACAGGGAGGGGAACAUCACACACCAGGGCCUGUUGGUGGGUUGAGGGCAAGGGGAGGGAGAGCAUUAGCACAAAUACCUAAUGUAUGUGGGGCUUGAAACCUAGAUGAUGGGUUGAUAGGUACAGCAAACCACCAUGGCACAUGUAUCAAAUAGGCACAUGUAUACCUAUAUAACAAACCAGCAGGUUCUGCACAUGUAUCUCAGAACUUAAAGUAAAACAAAAUAAAAUAAAAUAAAAAAAAAACAGCCAAAAAAAAAUUGACAUAACAAAAAAAAAAAAAAAGAAAGGAAAUAGGCAUAUUUGUAGCCAUGGACUAUGCAAGAGUGGAGGACACAGUGUAAAUUGUUCAGCUCUCUUGAUUAAAAUGCACAUAUAUUGCAUAUAGCUGAGAAUGUAAAGAAAUGCAAUCUACUUGUGGAUCAUCAAUCUGGAAUCACCCCUCAUCACCUAGAGCCAGGUUUCUCAACCAUAACACUAUUGGCACUCUGGACCAGAAUUUUUUUUGUUUUGUUUUGUUUUGUUUUUGCUUUAGGGGACUGUGCUAUGUAGGCUGUUUAUUUAGCAGCAUCUUUUGUCUCUACCCCUAGGUGCCACAAGCAAACCCCUCUCAUCCAGUUGUGACAAGCAAAAAUAUCUCCAGAGAUUGUCAAAUGCUUUCUGGGG